GGAAAGGCUUACGGUAGAUACCUAGGCACCCAGAGAUGAGGAAGAGCGUAGUAAGCAACGAAAUGCUUCGGGGAGUUAAAAAUAAUCAUAGGUUCAAAGAUUCCUGAAUAGGUCAACCUUUCAAACUGCUACUGAAUCUAUGGGUAGACAAGAGACAACCUGGAAAACAAAAACAUCUUAGUAACCGGAGGAAAAGAAAGCAAAAGUGAUUCCCAUAGUAGCGACGAGCGAAAUCAGAGCAGCCUAAAUCAUGAAAAUGGAGUUGUGAGAGAGUAAUAAAAGUGUAGUGUUGCUAGGCAAAGCGGUGAAGUGUCGAACCCUAGAUGAUGAUAGUCCAAUAGCCGAAAGCAUCACUAGCUUACGCUCUGACUCAAGUAGCAUGAGGCACGUGGAAUCCCGUGUGAAUCAGUAAGGACCACCUUGCAAGGCUAAAUACUUUUGGGUGACCGGUAGCUAAGUAGUACCGUGAGGGAAGGGUGAAUAGAACCCCCGUUAGGGAGUGAAAUAGAACAUGAAACUAUAAGCUCCCAAGCAGUGGGAGAAGCCUAUGCCUCUAACUGUGUGCCUGUUGAAGAAUGAGUCUACGACUCAUAGGUAGUGGAUUGGUUAAAAGAACCCACCAGAGCUGUAGUGAGAACGAGUGUUCAUAGGGCAAUUUUCACUGCUUAUGGACCCGAACGUAAGUGAUCUAUAUGACCAGGAUGAAGCUUCGGUGAAACUAAAUGGAGGUCCGAAUCUAUUGAUGUUGAAGAAUUAGCGGAUGAGUUGUAGUUAGGGGUGAAAUUCCACUUGAACCCAGAGCUAGCUAGUUCUCCCUAAAAUUGGUUGAGGCAUAGUAGUUGACUGGACAUCUAUGGGUAAAACACUAUUUCGGUGUAGGCCACGAGAGUGGCACUGAAUCGAGGCAAACUCUGAAUACUAGAUAUGACCUCAAAAUAAUAAGGGUCGAGGUCGACUAGUGAGAAGGUGGGGGAUAAACUUCAUCGUUGAGAGGUAAAUAACUCGGAUCACCAGCUAAGGCCCAUAAAUUACCGCUUAGUGAUAAAUGAGGUAAGGGUGUAGAGAUAGCCAAGAGGUUUUCCUAGAAACAGCCACCCUUGAAAGAGUACGUAGUAGCUCACUAAUUGAGCGAUCUUACACCAAAUAUGAACGAGGCUAAGCAAUCUGCCAAAGCUGUAGGAUGUAAAAUGCAUCGAUAAGAGAGUGUUCCGUCUUAGGGGGAAGCACCCACGUGAGUGAGAGUAGACGAAGUGGAAGAGAGAAUGUCGGCUUGAGUAAUGCUAACAUUGGUGAGAAUCUAAUGCCUUGAAAACCUAAGGGUUCCUCUGCAAGGUUCAUCCAUAGAGGGUAAGUUAGGGCCUAAGAUCAGGCCGAAAGGCAUACUCGAUGGGCAACAGGUGAAUAUUCCUGUACUACCCCUUGUUGGUCCCGAGGGACAGAGGAGGCUAGGUUGGUUGAAAUAUGGUUAUCGGUUCAAGGACCUAAGUUGCCCCUGCUUUUUCAAGUUAAGAAGAGGUAGAGAAAAUGCCCUGAGCCAAUGUUUGAGUACCAGGCGCUACGACAUUGAAGUAACCCAUGCUAUACUCCUAGGAAAAGCUCGAACGACCUUUAACAAAAGGGUACAUGUACCCGAAACUGACAUAGGUGGGUAGGUAGAGAAUACCUAGGGGCGUGAGACAAUUCUCAUAAAGGAACUCGGCAAAAUAGCCCCGUAACUUUAGGAGAAGGGGUGCCUCAUCAUAAAGGGGGUCACACUUACUAGGCCCAAGCGACUGCUUACCAAAAACCUGUCUGCAAAGUCGUAAGACCAUGUAUGGGGGCUAACGCCUACCGAAUACCUGAAGGUCAAGAAAGUUGGUAACCUGAUGACAGGGGAGCCGGCGAUCAAAGUCCUAGUGAAUGGCAGCCAAAACUCUAACGGUCCUAAGGUAGCAAAAUUUCUUGUCGGCUAAAUUCUAACCUGCAUGAAAGGCGUAACAAUCUAGGCACUGUCUCGGAAAGAGGCUCGGUGAAAUAAGCUUGUCUGUGAAGAUGCAGACUACCUACAACUAGAUAGAAAGACCCUAUGAAGCUUCACUAUUCCCUAGGAUUGGCUUUGGGCUUUUCCUGCGCAGCUAAGGUGGAAGGUGAAGAAGACCUCCUUUUGAAGGGCCCGAGCCAUCAAUGAGAUACCACUCUUGAAGAGCUAGAGUUCUAACCUUGUCUUAAGACCUACGAGCCAAGAGACAGUCUAAGGUAGACAGUUUCUAUGGAAGUAGGCCUCCCAAAAGGUAAUGGAGGCGUGUAAAGGUUUCCUCAGGUCGGAUGGAGAAUGGCCCUCGAGUGCAAAGGCAGAAGGGAGCUUGAUUGCAAAACCCACCCGUCGAGCAGGGAUGAAAGUUGGCCUUAGUGAUCCGAUAGUGUCGAGUGGAAGGGUCGUCACUCAAAAUAUAAAAUUUACUCUAGGGAUAAUAGGCUGAUCUUCCCCAAGAGCUCACAUCAACGGGAAGGUUUGGCACCUCGAUGUCGGCUCUUCACCACUUGAGGAUAUAGUAUGUUCCAAGGGUUGGGCUAUUCGCCCUUUAAAAUGGUACAUGAGUUGGGUUUAGAAUUUCAUGAGAUAGUUCAAACCAUAUUCGGUGUGGGCAUUAGAGCUUUGAGAUGACGUUUCCGUAGUACUAGAGGACUGGGAUGGAUGCACCUCUAGUGUACUAGUUAUAAUACCCACAGUAAACGCUGGGUAGCCAAGUGUAGAGUGGAUAACUGCUAAAAGCAUCUAAGUAGUAACCCCACCCCAAGAUGACUGUUCUCCUAUUCUGACUUCCCCAGAGCCUCUGGUGGCAUAGUCGAGAUAGCAAGGGGUUCUUUGUCAUUUAAUUCAAAAUUUUGACCCAAUUGAGCUAAUAGAAUGAUGCCAAAGAG
rnacentral:rRNA from 1 species